rnacentral:rRNA from 1 species
UCUACGGGAGGCAGCAGGCGCGCAAAUUACCCAAUCCCGACACGGGGAGGUAGUGACAAUAAAUACUGAUACAGGGCUCUUUUGGGUCUUGUAAUUGGAAUGAGUACAAUCUAAACCUCUUAACGAGGAACAAUUGGAGGGCAAGUCUGGUGCCAGCAGCCGCGGUAAUA